AAAAAAAAAAAGACGGGUUUUAYMAARCAAAAAAAAAAAAAAAAGAGAAAUACCCAUGGAUUUUGAAGACCCAUAUAUUAAGUAUUUCUCUUUCCUUACCAUAUUGCUUAAUUUUUCUAGAUCAAUGACUUUUCUUUCCUUACCAUAUUCGGUUUUUAGACCAACUGAGUAUGCUUACCCAAUCGAGGGGUUUUCGAGACCCCCCGGUACCCACCCCGGGUACCCAAUCCAAGGUUUUCAAGACCCCUGGGUACCCAAUUGAGUUACCCAAUAUAAUGGUCGGAAAAACCAAAACCAAUAUAUUGGGUAUUCCUCUUUCCUUUACAAAUUCAUAUACAUUAAGACAAAAAAGUCUUAUUUGUAUUAUCUUUUUGGAGMUUUAGGUUUCUUUUAACGGCGUUUGGGCUGACCUCUAUACUUAGAUCGAGAUAUUGGACAUAGAAUGCCAAUCUUUAACAAACAUGGAAAAAAAGGAGUAAUCAGCUGUGAUACAUCAAAAAAAAAGAUUUGUAGCAAAAGAAAGAUUUGUAGCUAAGCAUUUAUCAAAAAAAAUUCAAAAAAUAAAAAUGGGGGAAGAGAAAGAAAUAAUAGUCACUUGGUCUCGGGCAUCUACCAUUAUACCCCCAAUGGUUGGCCAUACAAUCGGUAUUCAUAAUGGAAAGGAACAUUUCCCUAUUUAUAUAACAGAUUCUAUGAUAGGUCACAAAUUGGGAGAAUUCGCGCCUACCCGGAAUUUCGCGAGAGAUGCAAGAAACGAUAACGAUAAUAAAUCUGUAAUGAAGAAGAAAACAAAAUAGGGAUCAAACAAAGCAAAAAAAAAAAAAAAAAAAAAAACCC
rnacentral:misc_RNA from 1 species